GAUGAACGCUAGCUACAGGCUUAACACAUGCAAGUCGAGGGGCAGCAUUAAAGUUUGCUUGCAAACUUUAGAUGGCGACCGGCGCACGGGUGAGUAACACGUAUCCAACCUGCCGAUAGCUCGGGGAUAGCCUUUCGAAAGACAGAUUAAUACCCGAUGGUAUAUUUUCACCGCAUGGUGAAACCAUUAAAGAAUUUCGGUUAUCGAUGGGGAUGAGUUCCAUUAGGCAGUUGGUGAGGUAACGGCUCACCAAAUCUUCGAUGGAGAGAGGUUCUGAGAGGAGGGUCCCCCACAUUGGAACUGAGACACGGUCCAAACUCCUACGGGAGGCAGCAGUGAGGAAUAUUGGUCAAUGGGCGCGAGCCUGAACCAGCCAAGUAGCGUGAAGGAUGACGGCCCUAUGGGUUGUAAACUUCUUUUAUAUGGGAAUAAAGUUUGGUAUGUAUACCAUUUUGUAUGUACCAUAUGAAUAAGGAUCGGCUAACUCCGUGCCAGCCGCCGCUGUAACAC
rnacentral:rRNA from 1 species